GGGGGUUCCCGGGAUUAUUGGGCGUAAGAGCUCGUAGGCGGUUUGUCGCGUCUGCCGUGAAAGUCCGGGGCUCAACUCCGGAUCUGCGGUGGGUACGGGCAGACUAGAGUGAUGUAGGGGAGACUGGAAUUCCUGGUGUAGCGGUGAAAUGCGCAGAUAUCAGGAGGAACACCGAUGGCGAAGGCAGGUCUCUGGGCAUUAACUGACGCUGAGGAGCGAAAGCAUGGGGAGCGAACAGGAUUAGAUACCCUGGUAGUCCAUGCCGUAAACGUUGGGCACUAGGUGUGGGGGACAUUCCACGUUUUCCGCGCCGUAGCUAACGCAUUAAGUGCCCCGCCUGGGGAGUACGGCCGCAAGGCUAAAACUCAAAGGAAUUGACGGGGGCCCGCACAAGCGGCGGAGCAUGCGGAUUAAUUCGAUGCAACGCGAAGAACCUUACCAAGGCUUGACAUGGGCCGGACCGGGCUGGAAACAGUCCUUCCCCUUUGGGGCCGGUUCACAGGUGGUGCAUGGUUGUCGUCAGCUCGUGUCGUGAGAUGUUGGGUUAAGUCCCGCAACGAGCGCAACCCUCGUUCCAUGUUGCCAGCGCGUAAUGGCGGGGACUCAUGGGAGACUGCCGGGGUCAACUCGGAGGAAGGUGGGGACGACGUCAAAUCAUCAUGCCCCUUAUGUCUUGGGCUUCACGCAUGCUACAAUGGCCGGUACAAAGGGUUGCGAUACUGUGAGGUGGAGCUAAUCCCAAAAAGCCGGUCUCAGUUCGGAUUGGGGUCUGCAACUCGACCCCAUGAAGUCGGAGUCGCUAGUAAUCGCAGAUCAGCAACGCUGCGGUGAAUACGUUCCCGGGCCUUGUACACACCGCCCGUCAAGUCACGAAAGUUGGUAACACCCGAAGCCGGUGGCCUAACCCCUUGUGGGAGGGAGCUGUCGAAGGUGGGACUGGCGAUUGGGACUAAGUCGUAACAAGGUAAC
rnacentral:rRNA from 1 species